UAAAACCUGCGGUGUGCGUGAAACGGGAAGUGUCUUGAGCCAACGUUCUAACCCCGCGGAGGUUGCUCCGGACCGGCAGCGGCGGCGUAUGCUGCCCACGCCAAGGCCCGGGAACCUCCAUUCCGUUAAGGAGCGGGUCAAGACAAUCCGUUCACGGCAUUGCGGGUUUUAU
rnacentral:other from 1 species